GACGAACGCUGGCGGCGUGCUUAACACAUGCAAGUCGAACGGAAAGGCUCCAGCUUGCUGGAGUACUCGAGUGGCGAAAGGGGGAGUAACACGUGGGUGAUCUGCCCUGCACUUCGGGAUAAGCCUGGGGAACUGGGUCUAAUACCGGAUAGGACCGCACUUUGGUGUGUGUGGUGGGAAGGGUUUUCUGGUGUGGGAUGAGCUCGCGGCCUAUCAGUUUGUUGGUGGGGUAAUGGCCUACCAAGACGGCGACGGGUAGCCGGCCUGAGAGGGUGGACGGUCACAUUGGGACUGAGAUACGGCCCAGACUCCUACGGGAGGCAGCAGUGGGGAAUAUUGCACAAUGGGGGAAACCCUGAUGCAGCGACGCCGCGUGGGGGAUGAAGGCCUUCGGGUUGUAAACUCCUUUCGCUAGGGACGAAGCUUUUUGUGACGGUACCUGGAGAAGAAGCACCGGCUAACUACGUG
rnacentral:rRNA from 1 species